GGAAGGGUGUCCGAGUGGUUGAAGGAGACGGUCUUGAAAACCGUUAUGCCAGAAAUGGCAUCGUGGGUUCGAAUCCCACCCCUUCCG
rnacentral:tRNA from 1 species